AGAGUUUGAUCCUGGCUCAGGAUGAACGCUAGCGGCAGGCUUAACACAUGCAAGUCGAGGGGCAGCAUGUCCAGCAAUGGAUGAUGGCGACCGGCGGAAGGGUGCGUAACGCGUGAGCAACAUGCCCUAUACAGGGAGAUACACCAGGGAAACUUGGUCUAAUAUCCCAUAGCAUUCAUUGAAGGCAUCUUUAAUGAAUUAAAGCUUCGGUGGUAUAGGAUUGGCUCGCGUGACAUUAGCCAGAUGGUGAGGUAACGGCUCACCAUAGCAAUGAUGUCUAGGGGUUUUGAGAGGAAGGCCCCCCACACUGGGACUGAGACACGGCCCAGACUCCUACGGGAGGCAGCAGUGAGGAAUAUUGGACAAUGGAUGGAAAUCUGAUCCAGCCAUGCCGCGUGCAGGAAGACGGCCUUAUGGGUUGUAAACUGCUUUUUUACGGGAAUAAUUAUGAUCACGUGUGAUUAUUUGCAUGUACCGUAAGAAUAAGCCCCGGCUAACUACGUGCCAGCAGCCGCGGUAACACGUAGGGGGCGAGCGUUGUUCGGAAUCAUUGGGCGUAAAGGGCGUGCAGGCGGCCGCCAAAGUCCGGCGUGAAAGACCCAGGCUCAACCUGGGGGGUGCGCCGGAUACUGGGCGGCUUGAGUACAGGAGGGGACGGCGGAAUUCCAGGUGUAGGGGUGAAAUCUGUAGAUAUCUGGAGGAACACCGAUGGCGAAGGCAGCCGUCUGGCCAUGUACUGACGCUGAGGCGCGAAGGUGCGGGGAGCAAACAGGUUUAGAUACCCUGGUAGUCCGCACAGUAAACGAUGUGCACUAGGUGUCGGGCAGUCAAUGUUCGGUACCGCAGCAAACGCGUUAAGUGCACCGCCUGGGGAGUAUGCCCGCAAGGGUGAAACUCAAAGGAAUUGACGGGGGCCUGCACAAGCGGUGGAGCAUGUGGUUUAAUUCGAUGAUACGCGAGAAACCUUACCAGGACUUGACAUGGACAGGAAUGGUCGUGAAAGCGAUCAGCUUUUCGGAGUCUGUUCACAGGUGCUGCAUGGCUGUCGUCAGCUCGUGCUGUGAAGUGUUGGGUUAAGUCCCGCAACGAGCGCAACCCCUGCUGUCUGUUGCUACCAAGUGAAGUUGGGCACUCAGACGGGACCGCCGGUGACAAACCGGAGGAAGGUGGGGAGGACGUCAAGUCAUCAUGGCCCUUAUGUCCUGGGCUACACACGUGCUACAAUGGCCGGUACAGAGCGCAGCGAAGCCGAGAGGCCAAGCGAAUCGCAAAAAGCCGGUCCCAGUACGGAUUGGAGUCUGCAACUCGACUCCAUGAAGUUGGAAUCGCUAGUAAUCGCGCAUCAGCAUGGCGCGAUGAAUCCGUUCCCAGGCCUUGUACACACCGCCCGUCAAG
rnacentral:rRNA from 1 species